rnacentral:rRNA from 1 species
UACGGAGGGUGCGAGCGUUGUCCGGAAUCACUGGGCGUAAAGGGCGCGUAGGCGGCGCGGGUAGUCAUCGGUGAAAGUUCAGGGCUCAACUCUGAAUCGGCCGGUGAUACUCCCGUGCUCGAGCACUGUAGAGGCAGGUGGAAUUCCGGGUGUAGCGGUGGAAUGCGUAGAGAUCCGGAAGAACACCGGUGGCGAAGGCGGCCGUGCUGGGCAGUAGCUGACGCUGAUGCGCGACAGCGUGGGGAGCAAACAG